rnacentral:rRNA from 1 species
ACUCAAAUGAAUUGACGGGGGCCCGCACAAGCGGUGGAGCAUGUGGUUCAAUUCGACGCAACGCGAAGAACCUUACCUGGGCUCGAACGGCUCACGAACACCUUUAGAAAUAGAGGUUUCCCGCAAGGGACGGGAGUCGAGGUGCUGCAUGGCUGUCGUCAGCUCGUGUCGUGAGAUGUUGGGUUAAGUCCCGCAACGAGCGCAACCCUCGUCCUGUGUUGCUAAUCCGCAAGGAUGCACUCUCAGGAGACUGCCGGCGAUAAGCUGGAGGAAGGUGGGGAUGACGUCAAGUCAUCAUGGCCUUUAUGUCCAGGGCUACACACGUGCUACAAUGGGCGGUACAAUGCGCUGCAAACCCGCGAGGGGGAGCUAAUCGCAAAAAACCGUUCUCAGUUCGGAUCGCAGGCUGCAACUCGCCUGCGUGAAGCUGGAAUCGCUAGUAAUGGCGUAUCAGAACGACGCCGUGAAUACGUUCCCGGGCCUUGUACACACCGCCCGU